UCCUACGGGAGGCAGCAGUGAGGAAUAUUGGUCAAUGGGCGCGAGCCUGAACCAGCCAAGUAGCGUGCAGGAUGACUGCCCUAUGGGUUGUAAACUGCUUUUAUGCGGGGAUAAAGUGACGUACGUGUACGUUAUUGUAGGUACCGCAUGAAUAAGGACCGGCUAAUUCCGUGCCAGCAGCCGCGGUAAUACGGAAGGUCCGGGCGUUAUCCGGAUUUAUUGGGUUUAAAGGGAGCGCAGGCCGUCUGUUAAGCGUGCCGUGAAAUGUACCGGCUCAACCGGUGAGUUGCGGCGCGAACUGGCGGACUUGAGUGCGUACGAGGAAGGCGGAAUUCGUGGCGUAGCGGUGAAAUGCUUAGAUAUCACGAAGAACCCCGAUUGCGAAGGCAGCCUUCCAGUCCGUAACUGACGCUAAUGCUCGAAGGUGCGGGUAUCGAACAGGAUUAGAUACCCUGGUAGUCC
rnacentral:rRNA from 1 species